ncrna:unclassified sequences S4-Fusobacteriales ribosomal protein leader
CUGUAAAGAUAUGUUUGGCUGUAGGGUCUAUUCUUAGGGAAACCUGAGGCAUAUCGAGGAA